UUGGGUGUAUCUCAGUGCUAGAGGACUUGCCUAGCAUGAGAGGUCCUGGGUUCAAUCCCUAGCACCACUAAA
rnacentral:tRNA from 1 species